rnacentral:rRNA from 1 species
CCGCGUGUGUGAGAAGGCCUUCGGGUUGUAAAGCACUUUCAGUCGUGAGGAAGGCGGUGUCGUUAAUAGCGGCGUCGUUUGACGUUAGCGACAGAAGAAGCACCGGCUAACUCCGUGCCAGCAGCCGCGGUAAUACGGAGGGUGCGAGCGUUAAUCGGAAUUACUGGGCGUAAAGCGCAUGCAGGUGGUUUGUUAAGUCAGAUGUGAAAGCCCGGGGCUCAACCUCGGAAUAGCAUUUGAAACUGGCAGACUAGAGUACUGUAGAGGGGGGUAGAAUUUCAGGUGUAGCGGUGAAAUGCGUAGAGAUCUGAAGGAAUACCGGUGGCGAAGGCGGCCCCCUGGACAGAUACUGACACUCAGAUGCGAAAGCGUGGGGAGCAAACAGGAUUAGAUACCCCGGUA